UCAUAAUUCUUAAUAUAUACUGCAGUAUACACCAUGCUAUAUAUAUAGAUAGGUACAUUCGCACGGAAGUUUAUAUUAUGAUUAUGGACAUCUGUGAUCAUAUAUUGUUUUGCCUUUGUCUUUAUCUAAAAUAAACAAUCCCACCGGCUCUAACGAUACCCAUCGACCAUCGGGCACAACGACACUCUCCCUCCAUGCGCCUUCGGUAGCGGUCAUACGUUAAGGGCUAAUUAAUAUAAAUCACUAAAUAAUAUUUUUUGUGUUCUAAAUAAUAAAAGUGUUAUCUUAAUAUUGAUAGUAUAUUAAUUAAACCCAUCUCUUAUUACUGCGUUCGUCGAAUACCUGACAAUCAAUUAAGGAGUCAGACACUAUAUUCAUUGUCAACGGAGCAUGUUCGUUCGGACAGCGUCGAAACGAGUCAGUUGAUAGACUUGACCGGGAUACCAGAAAAAAUCACAUCAUCCGUUGGUCUACUAAUCCAUGUAGUGAACGAAUCAACGAACUCACUAAAGGACAAAGGGUGGAAUUCGAAUGGAAAAACGUCUUAACCCCCUCUCAUCUUCUCUACCGAACGGGAUAAUAUAUAAACAGAGACAAACAACUACACAUCAUAAUCGAACGCAGACGCAUGCGCAUGCAUAUUCGUCGCAGCCAUCCUAGAUCGUCAGCUGGCCUUUGUCGAGCCGAAAUCGCAAACUAAUCAAAUUAUACUGCCGUCGUCCUAUACAAUAAUAUAUUAUAAAACCGUCCGAGCAUGCGAGCUCCAACGGUCCACAAUUCAUUUGAAAACAAACCAGAUACGUAGGUACACAGCUCUGGAAUAAAAAAUGUGUAUUUCGGAAUUUGUACGCAUAAAUUACCGGAAGCCCGCUAAAAUACUGCGGUGGGUUUAAGCUGGCGGUGACAAUAUUAAUGGCCGUUGCUAAUAAGCUUAAAACCCGCGGCACUUUCGAUAUCAAGCAAAACGGAUCCGAGCGCAUUUCGCAGUGUUAAAACUAUAUAUUUAUGUGUGUAGGAGAACUAAAACGAAUAAUAACUGGUAAUGUCAUAUGCUCUGCAAAAGCCAACAAAGGUCGUAUUUCUUUAAGAGAAAAUGUAAGAGAGCAGUCUUCGCCAACAUCAUAAACAUCAAAUUCUGAUGACUGCAAGUUCAAUUCAGUCCUUAACAUUUGUCUUAUGUCUAUAUUAAAAUGUAUACAUAAAAGUUAUAAUUGCAGUCACAAUUAAUGUAAUGUCGUUUUCACUAUUUUGGAAAUGUUUAACAGCAGCAAAUAACACCUUGGAAUCAAUACAAAGUACAUGACUAGUAUCAACAUUUUGAUUCACCUAUUAAAACCAAAAUGAAAU